AUUGAACGCUGGCGGCAGGCCUAAAACAUGCACGUCGAACGAGUGGCGGACGGGUGAGUACUGUCUGGGAAACUGACCGAUGGAGGGGGAUAACUAAUGGAAAAGGUAGCUAAUACCGCAUACCCUCGGAUGCGCCGAGAUGGGCUUAGCUAGUAGGUGGGGUAACGGCUCACCUAGGCGACGAUCCCUAGCUGGUCUGAGAGGAUGAACAGCCACACUGGAACUGAGACACGGUCCAGACGCCUACGGGAGGCAGCAGUGGGGAAUAUUGCACAAUGGGCGCAAGCCUGAUGCAGCCAUGCCGCGUGUAUGAAGAAGGCCUUCGGGUUGUAAAGUACUUUCAGCGAGGAGGCGUUACUCGCAGAAGAAGCAUCGGCUAACUCCGUGCCAGCCGCCGCGGUAAUAC
rnacentral:rRNA from 1 species